AGAGUUUGAUCCUGGCUCAGGAUGAACGCUAGCGACAGGCUUAACACAUGCAAGUCGAGGGGCAGCACAGGUAGCAAUACCGGGUGGCGACCGGCGCACGGGUGAGUAACGCGUAUGCAACUUACCUAUCAGAGGGGGAUAACCCGGCGAAAGUCGGACUAAUACCGCAUGAAGCAGGGGCCCCGCAUGGGGAUAUUUGCUAAAGAUUCAUCGCUGAUAGAUAGGCAUGCGUUCCAUUAGGCAGUUGGCGGGGUAACGGCCCACCAAACCGACGAUGGAUAGGGGUUCUGAGAGGAAGGUCCCCCACAUUGGUACUGAGACACGGACCAAACUCCUACGGGAGGCAGCAGUGAGGAAUAUUGGUCAAUGGGCGUAAGCCUGAACCAGCCAAGUCGCGUGAGGGAUGAAGGUUCUAUGGAUCGUAAACCUCUUUUAUAAGGGAAUAAAGUGCGGGACGUGUCCCGUUUUGUAUGUACCUUAUGAAUAAGGAUCGGCUAACUCCGUGCCAGCAGCCGCGGUAAUACGGAGGAUCCGAGCGUUAUCCGGAUUUAUUGGGUUUAAAGGGUGCGUAGGCGGCCUUUUAAGUCAGCGGUGAAAGUCUGUGGCUCAACCAUAGAAUUGCCGUUGAAACUGGGGGGCUUGAGUAUGUUUGAGGCAGGCGGAAUGCGUGGUGUAGCGGUGAAAUGCAUAGAUAUCACGCAGAACCCCGAUUGCGAAGGCAGCCUGCUAGGGUGCGACAGACGCUGAGGCACGAAAGCGUGGGUAUCGAACAGGAUUAGAUACCCUGGUAGUCCACGCAGUAAACGAUGAAUACUAACUGUUUGCGAUACAAUGUAAGCGGUACAGCGAAAGCGUUAAGUAUUCCACCUGGGGAGUACGCCGGCAACGGUGAAACUCAAAGGAAUUGACGGGGGCCCGCACAAGCGGAGGAACAUGUGGUUUAA
rnacentral:rRNA from 1 species